rnacentral:lncRNA from 1 species
AAAAUUAAACUGUAGAAAAGAAUAAGAAUGAGAGUUUUCGAUUGGUGUAGAUAGUGCGAAUAGAAAAUGUUAUAUAGUAAUAAUCUUAACAACUUAGUGGCUUAAAUGAAACUUUGUAAUAAUUUAGUGAUUAUUUUGUGAUUUUUUAAAAUUAAAUGACCAAAACAUAAAUUUAUUAAUAGUUUAAUAACUGCUAAGUUUUAA